rnacentral:lncRNA from 1 species
GUGGCCCUUGCUGGAAGCACCACCGUGGCCUGUUCCGACACUGUCCCGCAGCAGCACCACAUUGGAAGAACUGCAACAGCAAGAGAAAGUGUUUUAUAAGUAUCUGGAGACAAAGAAGAGCAGGAAACCGAAUCUGCAUGUCUAACUUGGGAAACAAGAUCCCAAGUUGUAUACUGGCAGGUAAUGUCUGUAUGUGCCUCUGAUAGGCUUUCUUGAAGAAAUAAUGAAGAAAUUAAAGUUGAGUUCUUAAGAUACUCUCAACAAGUUGACUCUUGAAAGAAGAGAGGAGAGA